rnacentral:rRNA from 2 species
CAGGGACGGGGGUAAGACCAGCACCUCAAGGGGUCAAGAAAAGUAUUGGGCCUAAAGCAUCCGUAGCUAGUUUUGUAAGUUUUCGGUUAAAUCCAUACGCUUAAAGUAUGGGCUGCCGGGAAUACUGCAUAACUAGGAAGUGGGAGAGGUAGACGGUACUCGGUAGGAAGGGGUAAAAUCCUUUGAUCUGUUGAUGACCACCUGUGGCGAAGGCGGUCUACCAGAACACGUUCGACGGUGAGGGAUGAAAGCUGGGGGAGCAAACCGGACUAGAUACCCGGGUAGUCCCAGCUGUAAACUAUGCAAACUCAGUGAUGCAUUGGCUUGUGGCCAAUGCAGUGCUGCAGGGAAGCCGUUAAGUUUGCCGCCUGGGAAGUACGUACGCAAGUAUGAAACUUAAAGGAAUUGGCGGGGGAGCAC